GACGAACGCUGGCGGCGUGCUUAACACAUGCAAGUCGAACGGAAAGGCCCUGCUUUUGUGGGGUGCUCGAGUGGCGAACGGGUGAGUAACACGUGAGUAACCUGCCCUUGACUUUGGGAUAACUUCAGGAAACUGGGGCUUAUACCGGAUAGGAGCUCCUGCUGCAUGGUGGGGGUUGGUAAGUUUCGGCGGUUGGGGAUGGACUCGCGGCUUAUCAGCUUGUUGGUGGGGUAGUGGCUUACCAAGGCUUUGACGGGUAGCCGGCCUGAGAGGGUGACCGGCCACAUUGGGACUGAGAUACGGCCCAGACUCCUACGGGAGGCAGCAGUGGGGAAUAUUGCACAAUGGGCGGAAGCCUGAUGCAGCAACGCCGCGUGCGGGAUGACGGCCUUCGGGUUGUAAACCGCUUUCGCCUGUGACGAAGCGUGAGUGACGGUAAUGGGUAAAGAAGCACCGGCUAACUACGUG
rnacentral:rRNA from 1 species